rnacentral:rRNA from 1 species
GACAGAGGGGGCAAGCGUUGCUCGGAAUCACUGGGCGUAAAGGGCGCGUAGGCGGGAUGGCAAGUCAGUCGUGAAAUCUCUCGGCUCAACCGAGAAACGUCGGCUGAUACUGCCGUUCUUGAGGGAUGCAGAGGAGACUGGAAUUCCCGGUGUAGCGGUGAAAUGUGCAGAGAUCGGGAGGAACACCGGUGGCGAAGGCGGGUCGCUGGGCCACACCUGACGCUGAGACGCGAAAGCUAGGGGAGCGAACAGG